rnacentral:rRNA from 1 species
AUUGAACGCUGGCGGCAGGCCUAACACAUGCAAGUCGAGCGAGCGGCGGACGGGUGAGUAAUGUCUGGGAAACUGCCUGAUGGAGGGGGAUAACUUCUGGAAACGAUAGCUAAUACCGCAUACUAUCAGAUGUGCCCAGAUGGGAUUAGCUUGUAGGUGGGGUAAUGGCUCACCUAGGCGACGCUCCCUAGCUGGUCUGAGAGGAUGACCAGCCACACUGGAACUGAGACACGGUCCAGACUCCUACGGGAGGCAGCAGUGGGGAAUAUUGCACAAUGGGCGCAAGCCUGAUGCAGCCAUGACGCGUGUGUGAAGAAGGCCUUCGGGUUGUAAAGCACUUUCAGCGGGGAGGCGGUACUCGCAGAAGAAGCACCGGCUAACUCCGUGCCAGCAGCCGCGGUAAUAC